rnacentral:rRNA from 1 species
GAUGAACGCUGGCGGCGUGCCUAAUACAUGCAAGUCGAGCGAAAAGACGCGGAGUUUGCUCCUCUGACGAUAGCGGCGGACGGGUGAAACACACGUGGAUAACCUACUUAUAAGACUGGGAUAACUACGAGAAACCGGCGCUAACACCGGAUAAUAUAUUGCACCGCGGGGUGCGAUGGUGAAAGACGGUUUUGGUGUAUCUUAUAGCUGGUUCCGCGCCGCUUUAGCUGGUUGGUAAGGUAACGGCUUAUCACGGCAAGCAUGCGUAGCCGAACUGAGAGAGUGAUCGGCCACACUGGAACGUAGCCACGGUCCAGACUCCUACGAGAGGCAGCAGUAUGGAAUCGGCCGCAGUGGGCGGGAGCUUGACGGAGCGACGCCGCGUCAGAUGUGAAGGUCUUCGGAUCGUAAUACUCUGUUUUUAGUGAAGAACAAAUGUGUACUUAACUGAACAGUGCGUGACGGUACCUGGUCAGAAAGCCACGGCUAACUACGUG